ensembl:sense_intronic Gm36988 predicted gene, 36988
ACAUAUUUAUUUAUUACUGGGGAUGCAAAUCUAAUUUUGAUGCUGAGGUGUGGGUCACUGAUAGAACGUUUGUCUAGCAUGCUUGAGUCCAUGUGUUCUAUCACCUGCAUGACUCAAGGGAAGGGAGGGAGGGAGGAAUGGAGGGAAGGAGGGAGAGAGGGGAGAUGAAGGAGGAAGGGCCUAUGGGGCCCGUAACACCCCCAGAGCAGAGGGAGAGAGGGGAGAUGAAGGAGGAAGGACCUAUGGGGCCCGUAACACCCCCAGAGCAGCAGAGUACUGGAAGAACUGGUGGAGAUGGAUAUGCCACUAGGGGGCAGAAAAGACUCAGACCCCUGCCCCCUGUGCUUGUGAGAUCUAUCUCUACUAAAGUUACUUGGGGGUGGGGGCAGAGAUUGUCAUAGCUAAAAGCAAAGUUUCUGAAAGUCAUUACCCUAGGCUGCUAUGGUAAGCAGUGUUACCAUGUAUGAAGGAGUCACUUAGGAUCUUGUCAAACACAGAUUUCUCACAGGUUCCCAAGUAGGCUGGGGAUUACAGACGAUGCUUUAAAGUGGUCAAGGUCUCAAAUAUCACACAUAAAUCAUUGUUCUCUCUCUCUCUCUCUCUCUCUCUCUCUCUCUCUCUCUCUCUCUUCAUCAACUAUCAAUAAUUAUCUUUACUAUGACUAGCUUAUAUGACCAUUCAGGAUGAGAUCAGUAGCAACUGUGUAACUCACCCCAUGACAAAUAAAAUCCACGAUGCUGGUUGGUGGUCAUAGGUAACCGGAAGGGACUCAGCACACUGAGGUGGCCCUUUCUGAAAUGCAUUACUUCCUUGGAUACUGUGGACACUUAAGAGUGUUCCCUCCCUCUCUAGUGCCCACCAAGGUCUAGGAGACAUUCCUAUGAGCCAAAGUAGGAGGGAAUCAUACAGACCUAAACCAUCUAAAGCCCAGAAAACUCCGGAAUUUUCAAAAGCAAUCGUGGAUCUUUCCAGAUUCUGUCUAAUCUUACAGAAGUCCUCAACACAGAUUAGAAGCAGACUGUGCUUGCAUAUAUUCAUCUCCUCUGUAUAUUGAACAAAUACCAAAUAAGUAGGCUUGAGACUACACAUUAGCAAGCUGUCACGUUAGCUCCUAACUGCGUGCAUGCAGGCGUGCUUGUAUGCUUGUGUGUAUGUGUGAAUGUGCAUGUGUGCCUCUGUGUGUGUGUACACGUCUUAGCAUGUGCACAGAAUUCAGAUGGACAUUGGUUGUUCUGCUUUGUGAGGCUCCCCUUUAUUCCCUAAGAUGGUCUCUCCCUGAGACUGAAGUUCUCCAUUUCAACUGGGCUGGCUGGAUUCAUGGCUGGCUGAGAUUUUGUGGUCUCUGUCCUCCAACUCUCAGUUGGAGACACUCAGAUCCCCGCUUCUAUGCGUGUGCUGGGAAUUUGUCUGAACUCAGGUCCUUAUGCAUACACGGCAAGCACUCUUACCCUCUGAGACAUUUCCAUAGUCUUUCCAUAUCAUUUUUUUAUCCUGUCUCCAAUAUACUUGUUUUUGUUGCAUGGAGAGGAGGGGAAGGGAAGCCCUAAGUGUUUGUUUUGCAACCACAGAUGACAGUAAGUCCUCUUGCUUUAGGGUGUAAUUCUUUUUUCCUCUUUCCUUACAGCUGUGACCUAGUUAAUUGUAGGUGGGAAUCAAACGCCCAAAUCAUCAGGCUUUUGGCUUGGCUUAGGAUCUUGCUGUUAAGUGGUAGGAUGUCCUCCUUAAUGACAGGAAGUCGGGUCCCCUGAUCAGCAACAUUUGUGUUCUUUGAGCUCAGAGAUAAAGAACUGGGUGUAUAAGGCUGUGGUUUCCUUGUGGUCAGGGACAAGAGUCAAGGGAUAGAUGAGUCCGUGACCCAUGGAUGAAUCACUCCUGCCAAAACAGUUGAAAUGUUCAUCUCAGUGUUCUGGCCUGGAGUCCUCCAGUCCAUGUGGACAAAGGAGAGAAUGACUCACUCACUGUCCUUUUAUGGCUUCAUUGCUAAUGUUGAGCAUCCUAUAGACCAGAAUAUGAUAUCAUUAAGAAGCCACUUUAGCCGGGCGGUGGUGGCACAUGCCUUUAAUCUCAGCACUUGGGAGGCAGAGACAGGCAGAUUUCUGAGUUCGAGGCCAGCCUGGUCUACAAAGUGAGUUCCAGGACAGCCAGGGCUACACAGAGAAACCCUGUCUUGAAAAACCAAAAAAAAAGUGAGUGACGACUGUAAAGGCAGGAAUGUAACACAAAUAAGCCAGGUGUGCUGGCACAUGCCUUUAGUUCCAGCACCUAGGAGAGAGGCAGGUAUCUGUGAGUUUGAAGCCAGCCUGGUCCACAAAAUGAGUUCCAGGACAGCCAGGGCUACACAGAGAAACCCUGUCUCGAAAAAAAGAAGA